GCUUUUGCUUGCGGGUGCCCAGUUCGCAGAUCGCUGUUGAUAAUUAAUGGAGCGCAGUCCGCGCCGGCGGCCGAAGCCGGCGGCGAUCGACAUCACCUGGGUGUCGUGCCGCGGCGUCAGGUCGUCGCUCCCGUUCCACACGCCCUGCCUCUACGUGUCCGUCUUCGUCGCCCCGUCGUCCGCCAGGGGCGUCCACGGCCACCGCCGGCCACACCGCGUCAAGACGCCCACGGACCGCGCCGGCGGCGUGAACCCCGAGUGGGACGCGCCCCUGCGGCUCUACCUCCCCGACGCCUCUUCGCCACCGGCUGACGAGGCGGAGCUGGCGGCGGGCAAGAACAGCAAGAAGGGCGACGGAGACGACGACGUCCUGCUGCUGCGGUUCGAGAUCAAGGCGGAGGUGGCCGUCCUCGGGGACAAGCUCACCGCGUCCGCCGCGGUGCCGGUCCCGGGCCUCGUCGCCGACGGGUGCACGCGCCGCGUGUCGUACCAGCUUGCGGGACCCGACGGCAGGCAGCCCAACGGCGUCAUCU
rnacentral:lncRNA from 1 species